UUGCAUGGGAAGUUGUUGUGAGGAGUUGUUGGGAAUGGAAGAGGAGUGAACCAAGGUUCCCCAGAGACAAUGGUCCCUAUGGAAUUCUGACAAGGGAGAGGAAUAUGGUUCUUGUGGUGGCAUCCCAGUGGAAGUGGCCGAAAUUAUGCUGGUGGAGUGAAAAAUGAGGAGAAGGGAGGGCCUAUCGGUGUCGUGGGAGGAAAGAGAGGUUGUGAGUGUGGAACUCCAGAAAAAGGGUCUAAUGCAGUUAAGGAUUAUAUAAAUGAUGUUGGGAAUCCUCUGAGAAAGAUGGACAUUUCUGAGACCCCCUGUGGAAGGUAGCAGCAUCAGAAUAGAUGCAAUGGACACAGAGAAACUAGGAGAACAGAAUGGAGUCCUUAGAGGAAGCAGGAUGUGAGGAUGUAUAGUCCAGAUAACUGUGGGAGACUGGGUUUGUAGUGAUGUCGGUGGCCAGCCUACCCCCAGAAAUCAAAACAGGUGUCGAGGAAAGGAAGGGAAGAGUCAGAGAUGGUCCAGCUGAAAGUUAGAGCAGAGUGGAACUUCAAAGCAAAAUUGAUAAAUUUGUCCAAUUCCAGGUGGGGAGGGAGAAUGAGAGAGGAAGGUAGCACCAAUGAUGUCAUCGAUGUAACAGAAUAAAGAGUUAUGCGGAGGGACUUGAGUAGGAUUGGAACAAGGAAUGUCACCCUACAAAGAGACAUGCAUAACUGGAGCCCAUGCAGGUAUCCAUGGCAACACCUUUGUUCUGAAGAAAGUGAGAAGAGUUAAAUGAGAAAUUGUUCAAAGUAAGAAUGAGCUCAGCCAGGCAGAGUAGUAUGGUGGUAAAUGGUUACAGUUCAGGCCUCUUUUCCAGGAAGAGACAGAGAGCAGUAUUGCAGACAGGAAACUCUUUUGCACACAAAGACUAGUGGAAUUUAAUAUUUUCCUAAUCAAUCUGUUCAGAGAUAUUAUGACACACUUCUGGAGCUGGUGGGUCUUGAAUCUGGCCUUAGAGGUAGGGAAAUUCCCACUCCACUAAAAGUAGAAUUUAAAGCUCCCUUCCUUAAUUGAUCAGAUGUUAAUUUUGAAUCUAUUAUUUGACAGAUUUUUUGUGAAGCAAAGCUAUUAAGAAAUAUUGAACAAUGGUGGGAAUAUGGAUUUGGGUCACAGAUCAGUCGUGAUAUCUUUGAAUAUCUGUAACAGCUCAAGAGGCUAAAUGACCUACUCUUAUUCCUAUGUUUCUAAUCCUAAGGAUAGCCAACCUCUCACAGGAAUCACUAAAAUUUUUCUGAAUGGGUUACUGAAGCAUAUGUUAUGAAUGUGUAAGGGGACAAUACCUUUAAGAGAGUUAAAAGCUAGCAGAACUAUCUGAUACAGCACCAAGUGUUCUGAACAUGGUAACAUUGUAGCAUUUGAUUGAACAGCUAGAGUAACUGGGUUGCCUGGAGACAAAAACACAUUCAAAUUCAACCAAUCAGUUUAAAUUAUGCUCUAAGAUACCAAACUCCAAUCAAGUUUGAAUUUAGUAUUUUGACACUAUUUAACACCAAUGAAAUGAUCCGAUGCUUUGGGGUAUGAAACUGAAAAGAAAUUGAACAAUUGGAGGAGAAAAGAUCAACAAAUGUAGGCUGCUAGUAAGAACUCUCUGAGGUGUACCUGUCUAGAGAAGGAGUUUGCACAGGAAAAAGAUCACCACUGACUGGAGAGCAAAUCCACAGAGGAAGACACCAAGAGAAGAUUCAACAGCUGGCUGAUGAAGCCUUAAACACAGCUUGCAGAAAUAAUGGCCGCAAAAACUGAGCCUGUUUUUUUGACGAUUCCUAACCAGAAGACAUCUCCAACACCUGUUGUUGAAGAAGAACCAUCUGUGGAAGAGAAUUGUUGCCACUGGCUGGGUUUUUGGUAUGGCUGGUGGGUGUGUUGGUGGGCUGGAUUCUUCAUUAUUUCUGUUCCUAUCAGUUUCAUCUUCAGUUUUCUGGGUCGAAAACUCUGCUGUUUAAUCUUAAAAGCAUCCAGAAAUCUAUGCUCAUGCCCAUUAAAAUUGAAGUUCAGUUCUUCAAUAAUUAAGGGUUUGGAGAAACAGGAAGCAAAUAAUGCAGAAAAUCUUUUAGGAUGGAUCAAAAAAUGGAAGAAUCUGAUGCCAGGAAUUAUCCUAGGAGCAGUUAUUGGAAUCUUCCAGAUAGUAAAUUGCAUGAUGUAUCAAUAUCAAGUUGGAGGAGCCAUUUUUGGAAUAAUAUUUGGAUUUCAGUUAAUGGUGCUUAAUGCUUAUAUUUUAAAAUUGUGAUCUAACACUAUGUUGGGAUCAAACCUUCACCAAAGAAGAACAUUGUGGAUAUUCUGUACUGAUACUUUAAGCCUUAAAAGGAGUUGUAAACAACUAUAACCUUAAGAAUCUCCAAAAGAUUUGCACUGUUACACUGUACUUGCCAGCUGCAACGUAUGAGGUUUUUAGUCAAAUUAAACAGCAUUUCUUUUGCUGCUUGCAGAUUUUCAAAACUGAGGAUUGCACCAUAGUGUAUCAUUUUUAUAUUGAGGUCAAAUAAUUGGUUUUGAUUUACUGAGUGUGACUGACUGUUUCUGAUCUUGUAGAGAAAAAAAUGGCCAUCACAGGUGUAUCGGAUGUAAUCACCUUGAGACAUUUGUUUUUUUUAAUUUUAUAUCUUGUGAUGUUACAAUAAAAGGUUCUGCUAUGUUUUCAAAGGGUCUGUGCUCCAAUAAAUAUACCUGGAUCUUUCUGCAAUCCUUAACAGCUUUUGUAGAGGUCAUGGAAAAUAAUUUCAGUAUAUGAAUAACAAGAAUUUUAAUAUUUUAACUAUUCUGCACGCUUUGCUUGAAAAGUGCUUUCAAUUAUGUAUGAAAAGCAGUUUGUAUGUUAUCUCAUGAAAUAAUAUCAUGCAUGCUGUUUAUUUUUCUCACUUAUGAACCAGGGAUUAUGUUAAACAGUGAACUUUAGAAUAAUGCCAGAAAUGUAUUAAAGUUUUUUUUAAUCUUGUUGAAGCAUUGCAUGCAUGGAUAAUAUUGUGAUGACUUUGAUCAAUUUGGUAAACAUGUCUGCCUUAGUGGAUAAAGUUUAAUUUUUUUUUGCUUAUACAUCAGGAUAUUCUCUAAUUAAAAUAGAAAAUGGCAGGAUGUAUGGACAGAGAAACAGCAAGAUGUUCUUUCAUAAGAAUAACAUUCUCUGUAUUGCCUACAAUUAACCUUUUCACUGCCCUUCAGUGCCAAUGAUGGCAUUCUGUGCUCCAAUUUUGUAAAUGCUUCUCUUCAGUUCCAUUGAAGGGACAUAAAAACACUUUAGUGAAAUGUAUUAAUGUACCUUAGUCUUUUUAAGUAUUGCUGCAGAGCUGUUUUCUAUGCGAGUAAUUCCAAAAAGUGCUUCUUGAUACCAUUGGGAUUAAAACUUCACAAUUUUUAUUGUCAUGUUAAA